AAAGACUUAGUUAAUUUAUAACAUUAAAUUGUCAAUUUAAAAUAAUUAUUACAUAAUUUUCUUUA
rnacentral:tRNA from 2 species